UAUUUAAAAAAAUGAUAUCGCGUGUAUCCAGUACAAUUAUAUAAUUUCAUAGUCCUUAAGUUUUUGAAGAUGUUAGUUGAAAUGAAAAACUGACAAUAAAAAAAUACAUCUAGCAAUCUGGCUUAAGUUGAUUAUUGUAAACAAAUUCAUUAAUGUAGUUAAAACGUGUGCAAUUAUUAUUAGGGGAAAACUCUUAACUUUCAUUUGGCCAUUUAUCAAUGGUGUGUAAAUUAGAAAUUGUGCAACAGCUUGAAAUAUCAUAACGAAGGUCUGCACUAGUCAAGACUAUAUACCCACAGGCCCCAUAUACAUAUACACACAUAUACACACAUACACACACGUACACACAACCAAUAUCCUUUGGAACCGUUGUGCAACAUAACCCCGCAUUUUUUGAAUGGCUAUAGCUAUGUGUACUGUGUACGUGUCAAAGGAUCGCUGUACAAAGCUUGCAUUGGGAAUAGUGCACGCACAGGCUAUAUAGCUACUGUGUGCAUUAUAAAUUCACAAUGUAGCUUUGCCUAGACAGGAGCUAGACUGAAUCUUGGUGUUUUCUCUGCAAAAUAAUGCUGAAUACUGAGUUUUCCUGCUAAUCUACAACAGUAUGGAUAUAGACGCAACAUGACAAAUGAGUAGUUUCCAUAUUGACCUCGUUCUUUAUCAUCAUCUUCACCAAUACAUCAACGCCACCAUCACCAUGUCUUUGACGUCGACCUCCGUUUUUGCGUUUGAACUUUGAAGAUUGUUGCGAACUCUAAUAAUGAAUUGGAUAUUGGCAUUAUCGAUGUUUGUUCUAUCUUUGAACACUGUCGCAUCGAACUUUGAUUAAAGGUAAGAACCUCCUUUUUACCUUCUUCGAUUUGUGUUUCGUCGUUUGCAGGUCUGAUCCUGACUCUGACUAAUGAUGACCUAACCUAUCGUUCUGUCUUCAAUCACCCUCGACGUCAAACUCUAUACCGCGUUUCACAAUCGCCGAACACGGACUCCGCAAACGAUUGACAUCGCCGACUCUCGACUUUCGUUCAUCAUUCAUUUUUGAACUGUACUAUGAUCACCGACAUAUCAUCUACGAUCUGCCAAGAAGGCCUAGUCACCAAUUGUUUCUUCAAAUUUCGUCUUUCGACUGAAUUCGAGUACGACAUCGUCAACGAAUCUCGCACCUCCGCUGGAAGGACAGUUUGUAUAAUGUACUAUGUAAUUUGAAUAUGAGCGGCAGUCUUUCGCUAUAGAAAUAGACUAACCACUUUAUAAUAUUGUUGUGUGCUGAAAAUGUUUAGUGUCAUGUAUAAUGAUGUAACAAGCGGCAGUCUUCGCUAUAGAAAUAGACUUCAGUUUUCGACUGUAAAUUGUUUUAUAUAUUUUACGCGAGCUAGACUUUAGCUCGUUUGAAUAAACGUUUUUUUUUAAGUAAA